AACAGAUGUGAGAUAAGCAAAUCAGUUAAAGCUCCAGGCCAAGUUUUGUUGGUUAGGCUCAUUGGCCCAUUAUCUUUCAACCAUUUACAAAACUUGUCCAUUUCUACUUGGAAUAUGCCAUUAAGCAUUAUCCUUUACUGGUCGAGUUUUUCUCACCCUUUGAUUUUCAUGAAAGCUUUACGUUCAUAACACGAGUAUGAAUGACAACUGAAGCAUCACUUAGAUGGGCUACUACCCCGUUGCCAUGCAUUCUCUUACCUAAGCAACUCCCAGAUCUAAAGCAGCUCUCUAUCUCAACCAAAACCUUCUCAGCAAAUUGUUUAAUCCCUGGCAAUUCCUCCCUUGUUCCGCCAUUAAAGAUCUAUACUUUAAAUCCCCUAAGCUUUUGUUUCACCUUUUUUAACUCUUUUUUUCUCUCUCGAAAUCCCAUCAAAACUCAAGAAGAAGGAAAAACAGAUAAACUUCAAUGGCUAUCAGAAAACCUGGUUUGAUUGCUUUAUUUGAUGUUGAUGGCACUCUUACAGCUCCAAGAAAGGUGGCUACACCCAAGAUGUUGGAGUUCAUGAAGGAACUGAAAAAGGUUGUUACUGUUGGAGUGGUGGGUGGAUCUGAUCUCAGUAAGAUAUCUGAGCAACUUGGGAAAUCAGUUGUCAAUGACUAUGAUUAUGUAUUUUCUGAAAAUGGGCUUGUUGCUCAUAAAGAUGGAAAACUCAUUGGCACCCAGAGCUUGAAGUCAUUUCUGGGAGAAAAAAAGGUCAAGGAAUUUAUAAACUUCACACUGCAUUAUAUUGCUGACUUGGAUAUCCCGAUAAAAAGGGGUACAUUCAUAGAAUUCCGAAGUGGGAUGCUCAAUGUAUCUCCAAUUGGGCGAAACUGCAGCCAAGAAGAAAGGGAUGAAUUUGAAAAGUAUGACAAGGUUCACAACAUACGCCCAAAAAUGGUUUCGGUGCUUCGAGAAAAGUUCGCUCACCUUCACUUGACAUUCUCAAUUGGAGGACAAAUAAGCUUUGAUGUUUUUCCUCAGGGUUGGGACAAAACAUACUGCUUGAGAUACCUUGAAGAAUUUCAAGAGAUUCAUUUCUUUGGUGACAAAACUUACAAGUGAUCUUGGCUGGGUGUUCUGUGAUCAGGGAGGGAAUGAUCAUGAAAUUUAUGAAUCAGAGAGAACAGAGGGACACACAGUUACCAGCCCUGAGGAUACAGUAAAGCAGUGCAAAGCUCUUUUCAUGAGCAAUUGAAACUUCCCUCUUGGUAUACCAUUUCAAUUUGUAUCUCUUAGUUUAUGGAAGAAUAAGUGCUAAAGCCAAUGCUUGGCCCUAGCACAUAUAUAUAUAUAUAUAUAUAUAUAUAUAUAUUGUAAUUUUAUACGAGUCAUUGUUAAAAUUUGCCUAUUAAGAGAAUCUGUAUGUACCAGGAAUUAUUACUUUAUCGCCACUCUUUUACUAUAAUAAAAUAUUUUUGGGUUACAGCCAUUUAUUUACAGAAACCAGAAA